UGGGUUUAAGAACUUACACUUUGCCGAUGAUACUUUGCUCUUUUAUGUAGCUGACUUGAAUUAAUUGGGUAACUUAUCCUCUAAGGUUUUUAAUUGCUACUAAGUCCUAAGAUUAACUUCUAUAUGAGUUUGAUGAUAGGUUUGGGACUGAGAGAUGAUGAAGAAUGUUGCUUUUCUGCCAUACUCCACCAAAAAAAAAAAAAUCUCCUAUCAAGCAUUUAGAGCCAGCUGUAUCAAACAAGCGGUUUAGGAAGGAGUGAAAGAAAUUAAUUGAGAUGUUUGACAAAAGAUUAGCUUGGUUGGAAGAGGAAAUAUUAUUUUUUUGUUAGAUGUAUAUUCUAAAAAUUAUAUUGGCCGACACAUAUACAUAUUUUAGAGACAUAAUUUUAUAAUUAAAUUUUUAAAUAAAUAAAAUUUGAAUUAUUUUCAUUCAUAUUGUGUUUGAAUUAUGUCUAUGAAUUGUCCGAGGAAUUAAUAGAUGAUGACACGUAUUCUUAAGAAUUGAGAAUUUGAGGCACGUGUCAUUAGUGGUUAAUUCUUAAAUACUUUUGAUUGAUAGAUC
rnacentral:lncRNA from 1 species